AUCCUACAAAGCUCAGUCGGUAGAGCAUGAGGCUCUUAAUCUCAGGGCUGUGGGUUCAGGCCCCAUGUUGGGCA
rnacentral:tRNA from 1 species